CCUUGAUUCAGAUGACAAAGAAAACACAAUGUGGUUCACCGGUUUCCAAUUGAUGUUACAUUUGAUAACAGCACAAGUUGAGCAGUGCAGGAACUGUAUGCAGGAACAAAGCAGAAAUUCCAAAUGAAAUGUUGCAGUUUCAAAAUGUUGCAGAGAAUUUUAUAGUACAAUCUUUGGAUUUCAGAAAGAUUUACAUUAGCCUCAUAUAUGGUAAAGAAAAACAAACUGGUGCUGCUGAUGACAACGUUUCACCAUGAUGGAAAUACUGAUAAGGAAAUACUGGACAAAACAGAAGGCUGAAAUGGAAUCUUUCUACAACAAAACAUGGAGUAGAUGUUGAUGAGUUAUGCAGCAACUGUGAUGUCACUCAAAACACAAAGCAUUGGCCAAGGUUGUGUUUUACUUGAUCCUAAACGUGUGGCAUAAAUAGUUUGAUAGUUUACAAAGAAAAUAACAAGUGCAAACCAUGGAGAAACUUUCAUAGAGGACUGGGACUAGAACUUAUUAAGAUCAUUUGCAGCAGAGGAAAAUCAAAAUGUUUCUGCUCAGGGCAUGAUGCAAAAAAUUAUAGACCACACUGGCGAGCUGACAGGUGAAUAGAAACGUGCAGCAUCACAGAGACCUACUACAACAACAGGAAACCUAAGAAGAUGUUCAGUGUGCUCCACAAGAAAGUACAAGAAAACAAAACAUAUGUGCUAUCAGUGUUUUGUAAGGAAGCACACCCCUGAUGUGAAAAUAUUGACGUUUAUUCUAAGCACUCGUUAUACAUUUAAUAUUUUACUGACAUCUUAAUUCCCCGCUAAGUGCAUGUUGUACAACGUAGCGGGAAGCUCCUGACAAAACAGGAAGGGAGGUGACGAGAAUGGCCCGCCUGCCACAUAGGAAAGGAAUGCUAAGCACAUGUGCUGUCAGUGUAAGUGAGAUGUGUGCAUGAAACACGGAGCUGUCGUGUGAAGGCUGCCUAAGGUGUGACAGUUGAUGCAAAGAUUAUAUCUGU